CAACAUUAAUGGUUUUACGCUUAACCACGCACGAACGAAGAGAGUGCGUGGGUAAAGCAACCAAAACGUCGAGGAAUGAAACGGAAAGAAUCAUUAAUGUUGCUCCUGUUGGGUAGGGGAGCGUUGUGUAAGCGGAAGAAGGUGAUUUGAGAGGAUUGCUGGACGUAUCACAAGUGCGAAUGCUGACAUAAGUAACGAUAAAACGGGUGAAAAACCCGUUCGCCGGAAGACCAAGGGUUCCUGUCCAACGUUAAUCGGGGCAGGGUGAGUCGGCCCCUAAGGCGAGGCUGAAAAGCGUAGUCGAUGGGAAACGGGUUAAUAUUCCCGUACUUGGAUAAACUGCGAUGUGGGGACGGAGUAGGUUAGGUUAGCGUACUGUUGGAGAUGUACGUUUAAGUUGGUAGGUGGGUGGACUAGGCAAAUCCGGUUCACUGUAAACACUGAGAGAUGAUGACGAGGCACUAAGGUGCUGAAGUAAUUGAUACCACACUUCCAGGAAAAGCCACUAAGCUUCAGGUUUAUCUAAACCGUACUGAAAACCGACACAGGUGGUCAGGUAGAGAAUACUCAGGCGCUUGAGAGAACUCGGGUGAAGGAACUAGGCAAAAUAGCACCGUAACUUCGGGAGAAGGUGCGCCGGCGUAGAUUGUAGUGACUUGCUCACGAAGGUUGAACCGGUCGAAGAUACCAGCUGGCUGCAACUGUUUAUUAAAAACACAGCACUCUGCAAACACGAAAGUGGACGUAUAGGGUGUGAUGCCUGCCCGGUGCUGGAAGGUUAAUUGAUGGUGUAAUCGAAAGAGAAGCUCCUGAUCGAAGCCCCAGUAAACGGCGGCCGUAACUAUAACGGUCCUAAGGUAGCGAAAUUCCUUGUCGGGUAAGUUCCGACCUGCACGAAUGGCAUAAUGAUGGCCAGGCUGUCUCCACCCGAGACUCAGUGAAAUUGAAAUCGCCGUGAAGAUGCGGUGUACCCGCGGCUAGACGGAAAGACCCCGUGAACCUUUACUAUAGCUUGACACUGAACCUUGAAUUUUGAUGUGUAGGAUAGGUGGGAGACUAUGAAGCGGUAACGCUAGUUAUCGUGGAGUCGUUGUUGAAAUACCACCCUUUAACGUUUGAUGUUCUAACGAAGUGCCUGAAACGGGUACUCGGACAGUGUCUGGUGGGUAGUUUGACUGGGGCGGUCUCCUCCCAAAGCGUAACGGAGGAGCACGAAGGUUUGCUAAUGACGGUCGGACAUCGUCAGGUUAGUGCAAUGGUAUAAGCAAGCUUAACUGCGAGACAGACAAGUCGAGCAGGUGCGAAAGCAGGUCAUAGUGAUCCGGUGGUUCUGAAUGGAAGGGCCAUCGCUCAACGGAUAAAAGGUACUCCGGGGAUAACAGGCUGAUACCGCCCAAGAGUUCAUAUCGACGGCGGUGUUUGGCACCUCGAUGUCGGCUCAUCACAUCCUGGGGCUGAAGUAGGUCCCAAGGGUAUGGCUGUUCGCCAUUUAAAGUGGUACGCGAGCUGGGUUUAGAACGUCGUGAGACAGUUCGGUCCCUAUCUGCCGUGGGCGUUGGAGAAUUGAGAGGGGCUGCUCCUAGUACGAGAGGACCGGAGUGGACGCAUCACUGGUGUACCAGUUGUCUCGCCAGAGGCACAGCUGGGUAGCUAAAUGCGGAAGAGAUAAGUGCUGAAAGCAUCUAAGCACGAAACUUGCCUUAAGAUGAGUUCUCCCAGUCUAUAAGACUGUAAGGGUUGUUUGAGACUAAGACGUAGAUAGGCUGGGUGUGUAAGCGGUGUGAGCCGUUGAGCUAACCAGUACUAAUUGCCCGAGAGGCUUAACUAU
rnacentral:rRNA from 1 species